UUAAAAAGCUCGUAGUUGAAUUUCGGGAUUAGUACGUUGGUCGUGCCUUCGGUACGUACUGGUGUUACUGAUUCCUACCUUCUGACGAACCAUCAUGUCAUUAAUUUGGUGUGGCGGGGAAUCAGGACUGUUACUUUGAAAAAAUUAGAGUGUUUAAAGCAGGCUCGCGCUUGAAUACAUUAGCAUGGAAUAAUGAAAUAGGACGUUGACCCUAUUUUGUUGGUUUCUAGGAUUGACGUAAUGAUUAAUAGGGAUAGUUGGGGG
rnacentral:rRNA from 1 species